rnacentral:misc_RNA from 1 species
ACCACUGGGCUUGUGGCCAAUAUGGAGAAGUCUAGUCUAUUCUUAGCAGGUGCGAAUGACAAUGUGAAAGAGAGCUCCUGGAAAUUACUAGAUUCACACAAGGAGUUUUUCCCAUUAGAUGUUUGGGACUCCCUCUCACAUCAAAAAGGUGGGGGAAAAUGGAAUGCCAUCAGCUAGUUGAUAAAAUAACGAGCAGGAUCAAAUACACCUAUGCAAA